GAUGAACGCUGGCGGCGUGCUUAACACAUGCAAGUCGAACGGUGAAGGCGGAGCUUGCUCUGCUGGAUCAGUGGCGAACGGGUGAGUAUCACGUGAGCAAUCUGCCCCUGACUCUGGGAUAAGCGCUGGAAACGGCGUCUAAUACUGGAUACGAGCUGCGAAGGCAUCUUCAGCAGCUGGAAAGAAGUUCGGUCAGGGAUGAGCUCGCGGCCUAACAGCUUGUUGGUGGGGUAAUGGCUCACCAAGGCGUCGACGGGUAGCCGGCCUGAGAGGGUGACCGGCCACACUGGGACUGAGACACGGCCCAGACUCCUACGGGAGGCAGCAGUGGGGAAUAUUGCACAAUGGGCGAAAGCCUGAUGCAGCAACGCCGCGUGAGGGACGACGGCCUUCGGGUUGUAAACCGCUUUUAGCAGGGAAGAAGCGAAAGUGACGGUACCUGCAGAAAAAGCGCCGGCUAACUACGUG
rnacentral:rRNA from 1 species